rnacentral:misc_RNA from 1 species
GAAAUGCGAUAAGUAAUGUGAAUUGCAGAAUUCCGUGAAUCAUCAAAUCUUUGAACGCAAAUUGCACUCUUUGGUAUUCCGAAGAGUAUGCUUGUUUGAGGGUUGUUCCAAUAAAAUCGUUUUUUUUAAACGGAUCUGAGUUUUCCGAUUUGGUAACUUGAAAUUUAUCUUAACGAUAUCUUUGGUAUGAUAUUGGAAAUGGUCAUAUUCUUACAUAUUGUGAGUUUCAUUAACAAUUGAUUACCUGUCGUUACGUCGUGUUAUUUGCCUAAUCCUUUUUUUAAUUGGGUUAUUUAAUACAAUCUUUCUUUCAACACCUCAAGUCAAGUAAGAAUACCCGCUGAACUUAA